GAUGAACGCUGGCGGCGUGCCUAAUACAUGCAAGUCGAGCGAACGGACGAGAAGCUUGCUUUUCUGAUGUUAGCGGCGGACGGGUGAGUAACACGUGGAUAACCUACCUAUAAGACUGGGAUAACUUCGGGAAACCGGAGCUAAUACCGGAUAAUAUUUUGAACCGCAUGGUUCAAAAGUGAAAGACGGUCUUGCGGUCACGUAUAGAUGGAUCCGCGCUGCAUUAGCUAGUUGGUAAGGUAACGGCUUACCAAGGCAACGAUGCAUAGACGACCGUGGCGAGGGGUAGGCGACCUGGGAAGGGAAACAGGCUCAAGAGGACUGAGGGAGGGACCAGACGGCAACCGGACGCAACGGGGGAAAGCAUGACGGAAUAACGCCACGCGAGAGAUGAAGGCGUCGGGAGCGUAAAAAUGUGUUAUUAGGGAAGAACAUAUGUGUAAGUAAAUGUGCAGCUCUUGACGGUACCUACACAGAAAGCCCCGGCUAACUACGUG
rnacentral:rRNA from 1 species